AUGCAAUCUAAUGUAUACAAUGUUGAGUUCUAAAACAACUAAUAGUGUCCAGUCGUGUACGACCAAAACUAGGGUUGUGCUGACAUGUCAGACCAGGUUUUCAGAAAUAGGCUACUAUUACAAUGAAUUCGGCUCUCCUGUGCCCUAGCUUCCGUUGACGUAAAUAAAUAUCAUGUUAAUUGUGGUGAAUCAUAAGGCUGUACAUAUGUGCCGUUGAACUUAUUGGGUAUCAUAUGCUCAGCACAAUCAAUAACAAAUUGGAUUUAAACGUGUUGUUACUGUAACCCUUUUUUCCUUCCCUUUAUUGGAAGUGUGGAGGGAUUAUAUUCUAAAACUCUGUGACGCUUGCUGAAAUUACCUUCUCUAUUUCAGAAUAUGCGUCAGAGUAUGCCACUCAGAGAGAACAAUUUCAGAGAAAGUUAUCAAGUUUCGGACAAAUACAGGUAUGACACAAC